UGUCCGAUGGUGUAACUGGCAACACGUCUGAUUCUGGAUCAGAAGAGUCCAGGUUCGAAACCUGGUCGGACAA
rnacentral:tRNA from 1 species